rnacentral:lncRNA from 1 species
GUCAAUGUGGAGGCUAUAUACAGGGGGUACCGGUACAGAGUCAAUGUGGAGGCUAUAUACAGGGGGUACCGGUACAGAGUCAAUGUGGAGGCUAUAUACAGGGGUUACCGGUACAGAGUCAAUGUGGAGGCUAUAUACAGGGGGUACCGGUACAGAGUCAAUGUGGAGGCUUUAUACAGGGGGUACCGGUACAGAGUCAAUGUGGAGGCUAUAUACAGGGGUACCGGUACAGAGUCAAUGUGGAGGCUAUAUACAGGGGAUUACGGUACAGAGUCAAUGUGGAGGCUAUAUACAGGGGGUACCGGUACAGAGUCAAUGUGGAGGCUAUAUACAGGGGGUACCGGUACAGAGUCAAUGUGGAGGCUAUAUACA